AGUGAACGCUGGCGGCGUGCUUAACACAUGCAAGUCGAACGAGAACGGAAUAUAGCUUGCUAUAUUUGUCAGCUAAGUGGCGCACGGGUGAGUAAUGUAUAGAUAACCUGCCCUUAAGAAAGGAAUAACAGUUGGAAACGACUGCUAAUGCCCUAUAUGCCUUUAAUACAUAAGUAUGCAAGGGAAACGCUUUAGUGCUUAAGGAUGGGUUUGUAUGGUAUCAGCUUGUUGGUGAGGUAAUGGCUCACCAAGGCUAUGACGCCUAACUGGUUUUAGAGGAUGAUCAGGCACACUAGAACUGAGACACGGUCCAGACUCGUCCGGGAGGCAGCAGUGGGGAAUAUUGCACAAUGGACGAAAGUCUGAUGCAGCAACGCCGCGUGGAGGAUGACACAGUUCGGUGCGUAAACUCCUUUUAUAUAGGAAGAUAAUGACGGUACUAUAUGAAUAAGCACCGGCUAACUCCGUGCAAGCAGCCGCCGUAAAAC
rnacentral:rRNA from 1 species